rnacentral:rRNA from 1 species
GAACGGUAACAGGGAGCUUGCUCCGCUGACGAGUGGCGAACGGGUGAGUAAUGUAUCGGAACGUACCAUUCAGUGGGGGAUAACGUAGCGAAAGUUACGCUAAUACCGCAUAUUCUGUGCGCAGGAAAGCAGGGGAUCGCAAGACCUUGCGCUGAUUGAGCGGCCGAUAUCAGAUUAGCUAGUUGGUGAGGUAAAAGCUCACCAAGGCGACGAUCUGUAGCGGGUCUGAGAGGAUGAUCCGCCACACUGGAACUGAGACACGGUCCAGACUCCUACGGGAGGCAGCAGUGGGGAAUUUUGGACAAUGGGGGCAACCCUGAUCCAGCCAUGCCGCGUGAGUGAAGAAGGCCUUCGGGUUGUAAAGCUCUUUCAGCCGGGAAGAAAAUGCAUGGGUUAAUACCCUGUGCAGAUGACGGUACCGGAAUAAGAAGCACCGGCUAACUACGUGCCAGCAGCCGCGGUAAUACGUAGGGUGCGAGCGUUAAUCGGAAUUACUGGGCGUAAAGCGUGCGCAGGCGGUUUUGUAAGACAGGCGUGAAAUCCCCGGGCUUAACCUGGGAACUGCGUUUGUGACUGCAAGGCUAGAGUACGGCAGAGGGGGGUGGAAUUCCACGUGUAGCAGUGAAAUGCGUAGAGAUGUGGAGGAACACCAAUGGCGAAGGCAGCCCCCUGGGUCGAUACUGACGCUCAUGCACGAAAGCGUGGGUAGCAAACAGGAUUAGAUACCCUGGUAGUCCACGCCCUAAACGAUGUCAACUAGGUGUUGGGAGGGUAAAACCUUUUAGUACCGUAGCUAACGCGAGAAGUUGACCGCCUGGGGAGUACGGCCGCAAGGUUA